CAUUAUCCUGUGGUAAAGAGCGCUCUUCGUCUCGCUGAUCUUGUGUGCGGACAUUAACUUGAGCUAGUUUCCCUGGAGUACAUAUUCCACAUUCGUGACUAUUUGACUGACUGUUUUGAUAGGAGAAUUCGUUGUUUUGCUUCCCGAGAGAAACACAGACCAGAUGAACGUGCUCGCAGUAGCAGUCUUCAUGUGUGUGUACAGCGAUUGUGUUACAACACCACAUGGCGAGAACAAGCAUCAUGAUAAUGACAAGGCUACAAUUACCGAGAGUACAUCAUCUCCAUGUGAAAACUUUUACAAGCACGUGUGCCCUCACCCUAAAAAGAAGUCCCACGGAACAAAACCUGGUUUCUUGAAACAGGAGUUGUAUAAGAAAAUAAAAGGUACG